rnacentral:misc_RNA from 1 species
UACGAAGGGGGCUAGCGUUGUUCGGAAUUACUGGGCGUAAAGCGCGCGCAGGCGGCCUUUCAAGUCAGGGGUGAAAGCCCAGAGCUCAACUCUGGAAUUGCCCUGGAAACUGUCAGGCUUGAGUACGGGAGAGGUGAGUGGAAUUCCCAGUGUAGAGGUGAAAUGCGUAGAUAUGGGGAAGAACACCGGUGGCGAAGGCGGCUCAAUGGCCCGUUUCUGACGCUCAGGCGCGACAGCGUGGGGAUCAAACAGG